rnacentral:rRNA from 1 species
AUGUCCUCCUUCCCCUCCCGCCGUCGCCGCCGGCCCCGCCGCUGCGGCGAGGUGCGGCCGUCCGCGGAUUGGGCGGAUCUGCCUAUAGACGCGCUACUGUCGGUGCUCCAAUACCUGGAAACCAUCGAGCUCAUGGUGGGCGGAGCGGGGCGAGUAUGCCGCUCCUGGCGCCGGGCCAUACGCAAUGAACCCGAGCUCUGGCGCCGCAUCGACAUGCGCAUCCACAAAUAUCACAACUACCGGAUUGACGAAGGCAUGGCGAAGGAAGCCGUCCGGCGGGGGUCGGGCCGGUGUGAGUCCUUCUGGGGCGAAGACGCCACCGACCACUUCCUCCUAUUCCUCACCGAGCAGGCACCAUCUCUAAAGAGCCUUCGCCUCAUAUCUUCUAAGCACAUCACUAACGAAGGGUUGUUGGCGGCACUUAAUAAGUUUCCUGUGCUUGAGGAGCUUGAGCUUUCACUUUGCAAACAUGUUUUCGGAAAGGUAUACGAGGGUAUUGGCAUAGCCUGUCCACGCCUCAAAUGUUUAAAGGUCAGCUAUCCUUGCUUCUAUAGCAUCGAAGAUAUCGAGUAUAACAAGGAUGAGGAAGCUCUGGGGAUUGCAACAAUGUUUGUGCUACGCUCCCUUCAACUGUUUGGCAGCGAACUCACCAACGCAGGAUUGGCAACAAUCCUUGAUAACUGCCCUCACCUUGUGUAUUUGGACGUUCGCCAUUGUUUCAAUAUCCACAUGGACAUCACCCUGCGUGCAAAGUGUGCUGGAAUAAAGACGAUGAAGCUUCCUCAUGGCUCAACUGAUGACUAUGAGUUCCAGAUUGAAAACCCAGUUCGAACACGUGCAAGGAAACCUAGGCGAGAUUACAAACCCUACGUCUGA